UUAAAAGAAACUGACUUCAUAACUUGCACUGAGAAAAGAGUUUUGCCUGUCCACUUAACACAUGGCAGAAGCUUUAUCCAGCUARUAACAGAGGGAAGCUCUGCAACUGAAAGGACAGAAGGGUUAUCCUUUGCCUCAGCUUGAGGCUACACCGUGGUGUUGCUGUGUCUCCUGUCCUGCUCGUCGGCCUGUGAGUGAAGGUAAACGCUGCACGGCGCACGGCUGCUGGCAUGGGAAGCGGAGCAGCUGAAGAGCCUCACCUGCAGCCUGUGCACAUGCUGUGUCACUGCACAGCAUUACACAGCAAACACAGCAUGUUGGAUGCACAGGUCCUGUGUUCAGCAUUUCCAGCCUUGGAGAGAAGCAGCCCUUCAAAACCAAGCUGAGGUGACAGUUGUGUCCCGGAGAUGUCUGAUGGGAGCAGAGCUGCGGGCUGUUGCCCGCCAGCAGUCUCUUGAUGCAUGCAAUACCCU